rnacentral:rRNA from 1 species
UUGAACGCUGGCGGCAUGCCUUACACAUGCAAGUCGAACGGCAGCACGGGUGCUUGCACCUGGUGGCGAGUGGCGAACGGGUGAGUAAUACAUCGGAACAUGUCCUGUAGUGGGGGAUAGCCCGGCGAAAGCCGGAUUAAUACCGCAUACGAUCUACGGAUGAAAGCGGGGGACCUUCGGGCCUCGCGCUAUAGGGUUGGCCGAUGGCUGAUUAGCUAGUUGGUGGGGUAAAGGCCUACCAAGGCGACGAUCAGUAGCUGGUCUGAGAGGACGACCAGCCACACUGGGACUGAGACACGGCCCAGACUUCUACGGGAGGCAGCAGUGGGGAAUUUUGGACAAUGGGCGAAAGCCUGAUCCAGCAAUGCCGCGUGUGUGAAGAAGGCCUUCGGGUUGUAAAGCACUUUUGUCCGGAAAGAAAUCCUUGGCUCUAAUACAGUCGGGGGAUGACGGUACCGGAAGAAUAAGCACCGGCUAACUACGUGCCAGCAGCCGCGGUAAUACGUAGGGUGCGAGCGUUAAUCGGAAUUACUGGGCGUAAAGCGUGCGCAGGCGGUUUGCUAAGACCGAUGUGAAAUCCCCGGGCUCAACCUGGGAACUGCAUUGGUGACUGGCAGGCUAGAGUAUGGCAGAGGGGGGUAGAAUUCCACGUGUAGCAGUGAAAUGCGUAGAGAUGUGGAGGAAUACCGAUGGCGAAGGCAGCCCCCUGGGCCAAUACUGACGCUCAUGCACGAAAGCGUGGGGAGCAAACAGGAUUAGAUACCCUGGUAGUCCACGCCCUAAACGAUGUCAACUAGUUGUUGGGGAUUCAUUUCCUUAGUAACGUAGCUAACGCGUGAAGUUGACCGCCUGGGGAGUACGGUCGCAAGAUUAAAACUCAAAGGAAUUGACGGGGACCCGCACAAGCGGUGGAUGAUGUGGAUUAAUUCGAUGCAACGCGAAAAACCUUACCUACCCUUGACAUGGUCGGAAUCCCGCUGAGAGGUGGGAGUGCUCGAAAGAGAACCGGCGCACAGGUGCUGCAUGGCUGUCGUCAGCUCGUGUCGUGAGAUGUUGGGUUAAGUCCCGCAACGAGCGCAACCCUUGUCCUUAGUUGCUACGCAAGAGCACUCUAAGGAGACUGCCGGUGACAAACCGGAGGAAGGUGGGGAUGACGUCAAGUCCUCAUGGCCCUUAUGGGUAGGGCUUCACACGUCAUACAAUGGUCGGAACAGAGGGUUGCCAACCCGCGAGGGGGAGCUAAUCCCAGAAAACCGAUCGUAGUCCGGAUUGCACUCUGCAACUCGAGUGCAUGAAGCUGGAAUCGCUAGUAAUCGCGGAUCAGCAUGCCGCGGUGAAUACGUUCCCGGGUCUUGUACACACUGC